rnacentral:rRNA from 1 species
CCUACGGGAGGCAGCAGUGAGGAAUAUUGGUCAAUGGCCGGAAGGCUGAACCAGCCAUGCCGCGUGAAGGUCAGUGCCCUAUGGGCGUUAAACUUCUUUUGUGCGGGAGCAAUAAUGGUCACGUGUGGCCAGACGAGAGUACCGUACGAAUAAGCAUCGGCUAACUCCGUUCCAGCAGCCGCGGUAAUACGGGGGAAGCAAGCGUUAUCCGGAUUUAUUGGGGUUAAAGGGUGCGGAGGCUGUGAGGUAAGUCAGCGGUGAAAUGCCCCCGCUCAACGGGGUGAAGUGCCAUUGAUACUGUUUUGCUGGAAAGCGGAUGCGGUGGGAGGAAUGUGUGGUGUAGCGGUGAAAUGCAUAGAUAUCACACAGAACACCGAUUGCGAAGGCAGCUCACGAAUCCGCGAUUGACGCUGAUGCACGAAAGCGUGGGUAGCAAACAGGAUUAGAUACCCGAGUAGUC